rnacentral:rRNA from 1 species
AGAGUUUGAUCCUGGCUCAGGACGAACGCUGGCGGCGUGCCUAAUACAUGCAAGUCAGAGCGAGCGGAACCAACAGAUUUACUUCGGUAAUGACGUUGGGAAAGUGAGCGGCGGAUGGGUGAGUAACACGUGGGGAACCUGCCCCUAAGUCUGGGAUACCAUUUGGAAACAGGUGCUAAUACCGGAUAAUAAAGCAGAUCGCAUGAUCAGCUUUUGAAAGGCGGCGUAAGCUGUCGCUAAGGGAUGGCCCCGCGGUGCAUUAGCUAGUUGGUAAGGUAACGGCUUACCAAGGCGACGAUGCAUAGCCGAGUUGAGAGACUGAUCGGCCACAUUGGGACUGAGACACGGCCCAAACUCCUACGGGAGGCAGCAGUAGGGAAUCUUCCACAAUGGACGCAAGUCUGAUGGAGCAACGCCGCGUGAGUGAAAGAAGGUUUUCGGAUCGUAAAGCUCUGUUGUUGGUGAAGAAGGAUAGAAGGUAGUAACUGGCCUUUAUUUUGACGGUAAAUCAACCAGAAAGUCACGGCUAACUACGUGCCAACAACCCGCG